rnacentral:rRNA from 1 species
AAACGAAGGAAACAAGAAGAUUAAUUCGAUGCAUCGCGAAGAACAUUACCAACUCUUGACAUCCAGAGAACUUUGCAGAGAUGGAUUGGUGCCUUCGGGAACUCUGAGACAGGUGCUGCAUGGCUGUCGUCAACUCGUGUUGUUGUGAAAUGUUGGGUUAAGUCCCGCAACGAGCGCAACCCUUAUCCUUUGUUGCCAGCGGUCCGGCCGGGAACUCAAAGGAGACUGCCAGUGAUAAACUGGAGGAAGGUGGGGAUGACGUCAAGUCAUCAUGGCCCUUACGAGUAGGGCUACACACGUGCUACAAUGGCGCAUACAAAGAGAAGCGACCUCGCGAGAGCAAGCGGACCUCAUAAAGUGCGUCGUAGUCCGGAUUGGAGUCUGCAACUCGACUCCAUGAAGUCGGAAUCGCUAGUAAUCGUGGAUCAGAAUGCCACGGUGAAUACGUUCCCGGGCCUUGUACACACCGCCCGUCACACCAUGGGAGUGGGUUGCAAAAGAAGUAGGUAGCUUAACCUUCGGGAGGGCGCUUACCACUUUUUGUA